rnacentral:tRNA from 3 species
GGGCCAUUAGCUCAACGGUUAGAGCACGCGGCUCAUACCCGCUUGGUUGGGGGUUCGAAUCCCUCAUGGCCCACCA